UACUCUUAACGGAGGCAGCAGUGGGGAAUAUUGCACAAUGGGCGCAAGCCUGAUGCAGCGACGCCGCGUGAGGGAUGACGGCCUUCGGGUUGUAAACCUCUUUCAGUAGGGAAGAAGCGAAAGUGACGGUACCUGCAGAAGAAGCGCCGGCUAACUACGUGCCAGCAGCCGCGGUAAUACGUAGGGCGCAAGCGUUAUCCGGAAUUAUUGGGCGUAAAGAGCUCGUAGGCGGUUUGUCGCGUCUGCCGUGAAAGUCCGGGGCUCAACUCCGGAUCUGCGGUGGGUACGGGCAGACUAGAGUGAUGUAGGGGAGACUGGAAUUCCUGGUGUAGCGGUGAAAUGCGCAGAUAUCAGGAGGAACACCGAUGGCGAAGGCAGGUCUCUGGGCAUUAACUGACGCUGAGGAGCGAAAGCAUGGGGAGCGAACAGGAUUAGAUACCCUGGUAGUCCAUGCCGUAAACGUUGGGCACUAGGUGUGGGGGACAUUCCACGUUUUCCGCGCCGUAGCUAACGCAUUAAGUGCCCCGCCUGGGGAGUACGGCCGCAAGGCUAAAACUCAAAGGAAUUGACGGGGGCCCGCACAAGCGGCGGAGCAUGCGGAUUAAUUCGAUGCAACGCGAAGAACCUUACCAAGGCUUGACAUGAACCAGACCCGGGCUGGAAACCAGUCAU
rnacentral:rRNA from 1 species